UACGAAGGGAGCAAGCGUUGCUCGGAAUUACUGGGCGUAAAGCGUGCGUAGGCGGUUCGUUAAGUCUGACGUGAAAUCCCCGGGCUCAACCUGGGACGUGCGUUGGAAACUGGCGAUCUAGAGUACGGUAGAGGGUGGUGGAAUUCCCGGUGUAGCAGUGAAAUGCGUAGAGAUCGGGAGGAACUCUCGUGGCGAAGGCGGCCACCUGGACCAGUACUGACGCUGAGGCUCGAAAGCGUGGGGAGCAAACAGG
rnacentral:rRNA from 1 species